AUGGAAUGUCCAAGCCACCACCAACCUCCCCAAGUCUACCUGCUGCCCCCUCCGCUUCAGGACCUGUGGUUCCGAGAGAAUGCCACCUUCACCUGCCUCAUGGUGGGGAAUGACCUACAGGAGGCCCACCUCUCCUGGGAGGUAGAUGGAAAGCCCCCCACCAGUGGUGUGAAGGAGGGGCUUCUGGAUCGGCUGGCCAAUGGAUCCCAGAGUCAGAGCAGUCACCUGGCCCUGCCUAGGUCCACGUGGGACAAGGGGACCCCCGUCACCUGCACCCUGAGCCAUGCCAGCCUACAGUCCCCAAAAGUGUUGACAUCAAUGAAGGAGCACGGAGCCCAGGCUCCCAGCAGCCUCUCUGUCAUCCUGCUCACCAUUCCAGUCUCUAUGGAGACAGCUUCAUGGCUCCUGUGCAUGGUGUCUGGCUUCUCCCCCACACACAUCCUCCUGAUGUGGCUGGAGGACCAGAAGGAGGUGGACUCUGCCUGGCUUACCUCUGCAAGUCCUAUGCCUCAAUCUGGCAACAUGACAUUCCAAACCUGGAGCGUCCUGCACAUCCCGGCCACCUCCAGCCCUUCUCCGGCCACUUACACGUGCGUGGUGGGGCACGAGGCCUCCCGGACCAUACUCAACGCCAGCAGGAGCCUGAACACCGGUGACCUGGUCACCACCACACCACUGGCCCCACAGACCCGAGAUGAGAACAGUGAUGACUACACAGACCUGGAGGAGGAGGGCGGCCUGUGGACCACUCUGUGCACCUUUGUGGCUCUGUUCCUCCUCACAUUGCUCUACAGUGGCUUUGUCACCUUCAUCAAGGUGAAGUAACCCCCAAACAGAAGAAUUUCCUGCAAUUGGAUUUGAGAAGAGGUCCACAGAGACAGCCUGUCCUGGAUGCCCUCCACACAUGGAGAUACCCCAGCCCUACCUCCCAGCUACCUUCUGUCCACCUAGCCUCACAGGCAAAUCCGGUGGGCUUUCUCAGCUGCAGGCAAGCAGGGUGUCCUGCUGGCCUGGCUUUGACUUGCACUGUCCCCUGCUCCCUUGAGAGCCAUUCUAGCUGUUGUUCCCCUUCCUCCCUCC